rnacentral:rRNA from 1 species
GACCGCGUAUGAAAGUACGUUUCACCUCGGGUGACAGGGAGACAGGUGGUGCAUGGUUGUCGUCAGCUCGUGUCGUGAGAUGUUGGGUUAAGUCCCGCAACGAGCGCAACCCCUACGUUUAGUUGCUAACGCGUGAAGGCGAGCACUCUAGACGAACUGCCGUUGACAAAACGGAGGAAGGUGGGAUGACGUCAAAUCAUCAUGCCCCUUAUGUUCUGGGCUACACACGUGCUACAAUGGCCGGUACAGACGGACGCAAAGCCGCGAGGUGGAGCAAAUCCUAAAAAGCCGGUCUCAGUUCGGAUUGCAGGCUGCAAUUCGCCUGCAUGAAGUCGGAAUCGCUAGUAAUCGCAGGUCAGCAUACUGCGGUGAAUACGUUCCCGGGCCUU